rnacentral:rRNA from 1 species
UACGUAGGGGGCUAGCGUUGUCCGGAAUCAUUGGGCGUAAAGAGCGUGUAGGCGGCCCGGUAAGUCCGCUGUGAAAGUCGGGGCUCAACCCUCGGAUGCCGGUGGAUACUGUCGGGCUCGAGUACGGAAGAGGCGAGUGGAAUUCCUGGUGUAGCGGUGAAUGCGCAGAUAUCAGGAGGAACACCUAUUGCGAAGGCAGCUCGCUGGGACGUUACUGACGCUGAGACGCGAAGCGUGGGAGCAACAGG